UACAGAGGUCCCAAGCGUUGUUCGGAUUCACUGGGCGUAAAGGGUGCGUAGGCGGUCGGGUAAGUCUGAUGUGAAAUCUCACAGCUUAACUGUGAAACUGCAUUGGAUACUAUCCGGCUCGAGGAAUGGAGGGGAGACUGGAAUACUUGGUGUAGCAGUGAAAUGCGUAGAUAUCAAGUGGAACACCAGUGGCGAAGGCGAGUCUCUGGACAUUUCCUGACGCUGAGGCACGAAAGCCAGGGGAGCAAACGUG
rnacentral:rRNA from 1 species